CCGACGGUGAGGGGUGAAAGCUGGGGGAGCAAACCGGAUUAGAUACCCGGGUAGUCCCAGCUGUAAACGAUGCGCGUUAGGUGUAUCAGUGACCACGAGUCACUGAGGUGCCGAAGAGAAAUCGUGAAACGUGCCGCCUGGGAAGUACGGUCGCAAGGCUGAAACUUAAAGGAAUUGGCGGGGGAGCACCACAACAGGUGGAGCCUGCGGUUUAAUCGGACUCAACGCCGGAAAUCUCACCAGAUAAGACAGCUGAAUGAUAGUCGGGCUGAAGACUCUACUUGACUAGCUGAGAGGAGGUGCAUGGCCGUCGUCAGUUCGUACUGUGAAGCAUCCUGUUAAGUCAGGCAACGAGCGAGACCCACGCCAACAGUUGCU
rnacentral:rRNA from 1 species